ensembl:lncRNA
UUUUUUUUUUUUUUAACCACUGGCUGUUUGACUAAAAACUUCUAGGUAGAUUUAUAAAGGAUGAAAUUAAAUGCUGGAAUGUAAGAAGGAGGAUAUUUAAGGGAGGGAAGACAAAGAGCAGUGAGGUGGAGUUAAAGGCAUGACAGUUGCACCAUGUUUCCUCUCCAUAGCCCUUCUUUUAUCAGAACAUCUGAGCCAGUCAUGGUGCGAGGAAGUCAGACGGGUCCUGCACCCUCCACUGGCUCUGGACCCUGGAUGUUUUGAGCUCAGGGUGCAAGGCUGAUCAGUCACUCAAGAAAGUUUCAAAGGUCUGGAGGAAGAUGCUAUUAGAGGCCUUGUUUAAAUAUUACAAGAUUAGUUAAUGAUUUUGACCAUAGAGGGUCUGGUUUAUGUUUACUGUUGCCACACUGAGGCGUAAACCUUUCAUAACAUGUACACAUGAAUAUAGGAAAUUAAAGGAAUAGUGGCAGUAUCUAAACCUCCUCACUGGCAGGGACUACAUGCCUGCUUUCAUUUCUGUGUAUAUCUGUACUUUUUCCCAUAAUAGACUCUGGGUUUGGCAAAGUAGGAACCCACACUUAGUAAGUGGGAUGUGUUUUUAGGUUUUCUGGUACAGACUUGUCUAUUGUGACUAACUCAUGUGAUUUCUUGCAUAAUCCAGGAUAUAGAACUUCUGUGAAUUACUUCCUGCAUCAUGUCCAAUAGCUGUGGUUGUUAGCAUAGUUUGCAAUCUACAGAGUUGAAAAGUCUUGUAAGGCAGUUUGAAAGCUGGCCAAAGGCUUAAGUCUCCUCACAGCUAAUAUGUAUUUCAUUUUUAAUAUAAACUUCUGUAGGUUUAACUUUGAGUGACUGGAGUUCUGUGUACCAGACUGAAGAGAUCACUGUUUCUCUGUAAUUGUCCCCAAACAUCCAGUAUGACCAAAAUUUUCCCCAAGCUUGUCUUGGUAAUUAUUUAAAACUAAUUAUGAGCUAUCUUAACCCUGCAAUGCUUCAAGCUGCUCUAAAAUUUUGUGCUGUACUUAGACUCAUGAAAACUCAGAAAUGAGUCAGUGCUUGGUCACAAACCAGUAUGUAAUGCGGGGAUAUGGUUGCACUCUUGAAUGAAUUAAGUUAGGUAUGUAAUUCCAGCUAGGUCACCCAGCAUGAGGUUUCAUUUCAAAUGCCUGUGUCAGGCAUUUGUUCAUCCAUGACAGGCCCAUAAAUUGAUAACCUAAUUAAAUUAUUUAUCAAGACUGUGGAAUUCAUAUAUUUUUCUGGAUGCACUAACACUGCUCUUUAGAACGUCUGAGGAAACAGCUUGCUCUGAGUGAGAGAUUCUGAUUUAGAGAACACAAACCCAGAGGAGUGCGGCUCCAGCUGCAUCUGGGAGAUCAUAUCUGGCUCCAAAAGGUUGUGACUGUGUCUUAUCAGUCCCUAGCUCAGUGGAACAGAGGGAGGACCAUAGGAAUAUCCAAAUGCAGGUAAUUAAUGUGUUGAGUUUUAACUUUGCAUCUGUUUUACUAAUUCAGUAGUUCUUUUCUUAAAUUCUUGAAUUCUUGAAACUCCAUCAAAUAAACUUGAUUUUACUUCUUGCCAAAAUCUCAGCUGGUACUGAGAGUAAUUUCAGUAUAUUGUAGAAAACUGAAUGCUUUGGAUGGGCAAACUGAAUGAAAGUACAUUAAGCCAUUUCAAAAAAUUCUUAAAUUCAGCCCUGAAUAUUGCACAGUUAUUUCUUGUUUUGCUGAAAGGAUUUACCUUGGGAUUGAUUAGCUUGAGAUUUGUUAUACUAAACUCCAAAUAGUCAUGCUUAUUCAUGUAUUUGACAGCCUCCAUAGCAUAUUCUAAGGCUACAGAAGGAGAACACAAUAUUUAUGAUGUAUGAGAUCUUAAACUUGUACCUUUAACACUGUAAAAUUUAUAUUGAUGACUAUACGUAUCAUUCCCUCCUCUGGUAUAAUACAGAGUCCUUAGACCUUAAUACAGAGGGUCUUUCUGCUCCACUAAUACUUUCAUUAAUCUGCCCUGAACAGCAAAUCUACACAUCUCUUAGAAUCAGCUACAACAGGUCAAGUGCAAGUCUAAUCUCCUUAAACCUAUGUGCUAUUUUCCCAUUUCUUCUAAUAAGAAUUAUUUUAAUUUAGUAUGUUCAUAGUAUUCACAUGCCUUCUAAAUUUCUCUGAGUUAUUAUUACCCCUGAAAUAGUCAGGUUUCUUAUUUAUACAACUUUGUUUCUUGCUUCCGUGCAUAUACCCAUGCUGAAAUUAUUAAGUCUGGAAAGCUGAUUUCUUGUGUUGAUUUUUACAGUAACUAGACAGCUAUUGUAAGUGACACACAGUAUCAGGAAUUUCUGUUACACUUUAAAAGUUUUUUAAUAGUUUUCUAUUCUUAAAUGUAAAAGAAAGCAAAGACAAAUAUUAAAAUAACAACAGCCUAGUGGCACAAAAUUAAAGUAACUGCAUCUUCAAUUAAUUGAACUGGGAGCCAGAAGGGUGGCUGGCUUUAAUGUAGGCUAAUUCUUUGAGGAGAAUGUCUGACUUGAGUCAUCUAAAUGUAAGUCACACAAUAAUAUUAAACAAGAGAUAACGAUCUCCCAAAUGCCUUUCAGAAGCAGAGAACACCCUUGAGAUAAUUCAUAGCAUUUGCAUACUUUAAAUCAUUGUCAACCAGCUGUCUUCCCAGCUUAAACCAUCCAAAUAUAUGUCUAAUAGUUCACAAUGAGCUAUUACUGGGUAUUUACUUUCCAGGACUCUCCUAAACUCAUGUCCCACCAAUUUGUAACAGGAGAGUCUACAAGAAUGGAAUGCAUGAUCACAGACCACUUAGUUUUCACCGAUUAGCAACCAACACCAGAAUUAGACCUUAACAUGACUUGUGUCUAAUGUUAGCCUGUCCUGCAAUCAUUUUUCUUGAUCUUUACAGUGGCAGGAAACCUGCUGAACAUAUUCCUAAGUUUUGCUCAAGAAAUGUCACGCUCUUAGAAAGGAUAUGGUGUAUGUCUUUCCUGCUCCUGCCUGCAUUACCUUGCACCUUGCCCAUCAUCUACUCCAAAGCUCCAGCAAAGCCCUGCCCAUGGCAUUUAUACAGCACAAAACUGGAUUCAUACAGAUGCUUUGUACCUGGGGCCAUUCUGAGACCACUUGCUUGUGCAGCUGCAUAAUUGGGUGUCUUCUCUAUGAAGCAGUUAUCUCUUUUUGAACCUGGGAUUUCUAAUGAGUGGUCCAUUGAUAGAGUAAAUAAACCUAAGUAUUUUAUGUGACUCACCAACAGCACUGAGAUGGUUCCUUUUUAUUAGGGGGAUCAGCGAAUCUCUUAGACAGCUAGAGGACAUAUAUGAUAAUUUUAGUUAAGAACAUUCUACUGCCCUAUUUGACAUUAGGUUUUUCUGCAGCACCAAAAACAGAAUCACACUCAGCCCUGAAGUAAAUCAACCUGCCUGACACAAUAGCUACUAAACUCUGUUCAUUUCUUUAUUAUACUGAGAUCAAAGCUGCACAGAGAUUCACAGCAGGAUUUCAAACAAGCUAAAACUUUGCUGGGAAUACCCUAGUUUGCUGUCCAUAAAUAGAGGAAACUUCUUUUAGCUGCACAUUAUUUUCAGUUUCCUUAAUUCAAAAGUAGCUCCCUAUAUGUUUCAUAAUACUAAGAGUUUAAAGAAAUGCUUAGGUGAACUAAGCUUUCAAUGGAAUUCAAUUCCUAAAAGGCUUCUGAAUACUUACAUCUGCUUUUGUACCAGACAAGUUAGGCCCUGGUAACACUGCUGCCCUUUGUUGCACAUAUGGGUACAAGAUGUUCUGCAGAUUCUGGACCUUCAUUGCCAAAAUGUUUGAAUAAUGCAAUCAUCACUGCAUUAUCUGAAGGUCUUAUAACACAGUAUCCCCUUAACAUAGUAUUCCUGGCUCUUGUACUACAAAGAUGGUGAAAAGACAGAGAUUAACUGAAUUGGUGUAGCAAGAGAGCCCUAUCUGCAUUGUAUCCAGAGAGGGACAGAGAAGAGGGACAGAGAAGAAGGACAGAUAAACCUGACUUCAAAUAUUAGCUGCACCAACUUCCCUAUACACUAAGCCUUUAGUGACUGGUUGUUGUGGUUAGAUGCUCAACAGUUCCUGACAGAUUAUGAGGAAUCCACACAUGACAGAACCUCAUGCUCAGACUUUUCUACUACAGCAGGCUGGUGACCAUACUAUGGUGGUCCCUUCCUCCCCAUACCCCUCACACCCUUUUUUUUUUUUUUUUCCCUGAAAAAGUAAUUUUUAAAUUUCAAGUACAGAAUGAAGGCUAAAUGAGGAUGACAGCCUCAUUUUCUGAAUGCCUGAGAGUGAAGAAGGGAUGUAACAGGGAGAAAAGUAGCCAAAAGCAGGUUGUCCUGUAUUUGAAGGCUGAAGGUUAGAGCAGUCUUACCAGAUGGCCUUUGGAAGUAAGGAUUACUCAUUACACAGGGUAUCUUGCUGCAGAAUUUUCAUCUUUUGAGCCGACCUUGUACAGGGAAUGCAAAUGUACCUAUUUACACUGCUCAAGUGGUGUAAAGAGUUUAGCGUAAAGGAGAAUGAGUCCCUGGCUGUUCAGAAUCUCCAGAGAUACUAUUUGUCACAGGCGUACACAGUCUGUUAAAACCAUCCAAGUGCUGACAGCACAAAAGAAACUCCAAGCUGGUAUCUUGUGCAGCAACCUAAAAUGCACAACCUGAAACACCAGGUCAGUGUAUUUCACACUGUGAUCUCUGUUUCAGCCAUAGCAAAGCAUUUAUAUCACUCAAGAUGAUUUGUUCUAGUUUUUAAUGUUAGCAUAACUCUUGCAUAAGGCUCCACAAUCAAACACAGGGCAUAAGACGCUAUGGAAACCAUUUUGAACUGUGGCUUGUCACCCCACAGAGGAGUCAAUAAUGUAACAUUUCCUACUGUUGAUUUACACUGGUCCCAAAUCAUCACUAAUGCAGACAGGUGGGAUCUCACCAUCCUAAAACAUAUGUGAGGACUUUGGCAACCUAUCCACUUAAGAAGAAAUGUGAACAUUUGAACAGACCCUGUCUUAUAUUUGAAGCAUGGUGCAAAGUGUUAAAGACUGUAUUUUUCUUAUGAAAUUUUUAUGUGCUUCCUUCGCCUUAAGGGCAGGUCAUCACACUAAGUACUUGUCUUAUUUAAAUACAUUGAGAAAUUCUAGCAGAACAGAGCUGUCCCAUCAGGGUAGGUACUUAAAUUAUGAAGGAUCCUGAAAAGGCUGCGUCCCAAAGGCCAGGCUACAGCCCUGUCUGGAAGAAGGUGCAAGACAGAGAUGUCCUUGAAGUGUCCAGCUACCAGGGGUGUAGCUGGUUGUAUACAAGCUGCAGUGAACAAAGACAGCAUGAGCUCUCCCAGGCUCUGUGCACACAUGUGCACCAGAAUAAUAAACAGGGGCUCCAGAGCUACUGCAUCAAAAUCUGUAUGAGCAGAUAACUUUUUCUUGUCAGUUCUAGGAGAUGAGACACUGCCAGUUCAUGAGGAUAUUGCUAAAAUAAUUUGGAAUUUAAUAUCACGUAGUCAGAAAAUUAUUCGGUUGGAAGGGAUCAUCCAAUUCCAAGCCCCCUGCCAUGGUCAGGGGGCUUCCAUUAGUCCAGGCUUCUCAAUGCCCCAUCCAACAUGGCAUGCUUAAAUUAAAAUCCCACCAGAAACAUCAUUUGCCCAACACCCAAAGAAUAUGCCAUACUACAAGAGCCUGAAAGAAAUGCAAAUGAUAAUUAAAAAAUAUUAGAAAAGUAUUCCUAAUUGUUUCUAUUUUGUAUGGCUGAACAAAAUUGUUAAGGUUUUGUUCCUAAAUCACAUAAAUUCUCUUUCACUCAGUCCCUGAGUUUUGUUGUGAGAGCUGAAGUGCUCUAUUCACUAUUCUGGAAUCCAUCCAAGCCAUAGGUCAGGAAAAGCUGACACCGUGGGAUGUCUCACAGAGACAAGCUGCUUUUUGAAAAGCACUCAAGAUGAGACAAGACGACCACCUAAUGCCUUCAACAAAUUUCAAAGAACAUCUAGAAGGAAGACAUUCCCUCUCUUGCAGAAA